UGUUUCUGCCCUAUGAUUAUUUAAAUGGCUGCAGUAUUUUGACUGUACAAAGGUAGCAUAAUAAUUAGUUUCUUAAUUAGGGACUAGUAUGAAUGAAUUAAUGAAGGAUAUAUUUUAUUAAAUUAAUUUUUUAAAUUUUAUUUUUUAGUAAAAAAUCUAAAUUGAAUUAUUGGGACGAAAAGACCCUAUAGAACUUGAAUAUAUAAUUAAUAAAUUUUAUAUUUGGAUUAAUUAAUUGUUUUUAUUUUGUUGGGGUGACGGUUAUUUUUAAACUUUAAUUUAAUUUUUCCUUAAUUAAUGAUUUUUAAAAUAUUAAUUUUACAAGUUAAAGUUACCUUAGGGAUAACAGCGUUAUUUAAAUGGGGAGUUCAUAUCUAUAUUUAAGUUUGCGACCUCGAUGUUGAAUUAAGAUAAGGUUAGGAGGUAGUUUUUCUUUUCUUGAGUC
rnacentral:rRNA from 1 species